UACGUAGGGUGCGAGCGUUGUCCGGAAUUAUUGGGCGUAAAGGGCUCGUAGGCGGUUUGUCGCGUCGGGAGUGAAAACAUCGGGCUUAACUCGGUGCUUGCUUUCGAUACGGGCAGACUAGAGGCAUGCAGGGGAGAACGGAAUUCCUGGUGUAGCGGUGAAAUGCGCAGAUAUCAGGAGGAACACCGGUGGCGAAGGCGGUUCUCUGGGCAUGUCCUGACGCUGAGGCGCGAAAGCGUGGGGAGCGAACAGG
rnacentral:rRNA from 1 species